rnacentral:rRNA from 1 species
UACGAGUAGUCCAAGCGUUAUCCGGAAUUAUUGGGCGUAAAGGGUAUGUAGGUGGUUAUGUUAGUCCGGUGUCGAACCUUUGGCUCAACCCAAAGACAGCAUUGGAAACGGCAUGACUAGAGUAUGUUAGGGGUAAGCGGAACUCAUAGUGUAGGGGUGAAAUCCGUUGAUAUUAUGGGGAACACCAAAAGCGAAGGCAGCUUACUGGAACAUUACUGACACUGAAAUACGAAAGCGUGGGUAGCGAAUGGG